GGACGAACGCUGGCGGCGUGCCUAAUACAUGCAAGUCGAGCGCGGGAAGCAAGCUGAUCCUCUUCGGAGGUGACGCUUGUGGAACGAGCGGCGGACGGGUGAGUAACACGUGGGCAACCUGCCUGUAAGACUGGGAUAACCCCGGGAAACCGGGGCUAAUACCGGAUAAUACUUUUCAUCACCUGAUGGAAAGUUGAAAGGUGGCUUCUUGCUACCACUUACAGAUGGGCCCGCGGCGCAUUAGCUAGUUGGUGAGGUAACGGCUCACCAAGGCAACGAUGCGUAGCCGACCUGAGAGGGUGAUCGGCCACACUGGGACUGAGACACGGCCCAGACUCCUACGGGAGGCAGCAGUAGGGAAUCUUCCGCAAUGGACGAAAGUCUGACGGAGCAACGCCGCGUGAGUGAUGAAGGUUUUCGGAUCGUAAAGCUCUGUUGUUAGGGAAGAACAAGUGCCGUUCGAAUAGGGCGGCACCUUGACGGUACCUAACCAGAAAGCCCCGGCUAACUACGU
rnacentral:rRNA from 1 species